rnacentral:rRNA from 1 species
AUUGAACGCUGGUGGCGUGCUUAACACAUGCAAGUCGAGCGAGAAAGUUCCCUUCGGGGGAUGAGUAGAGCGGCGCACGGGUGAGUAACGCGUGGGUGACCUACCCAUAUGAUCGGGAUAACAGCUGGAAACGACUGCUAAUACCGGAUACGCUUCAUGUUUAGCUUCAUGAAGGAAAGGAGGCCUCUGCUUGCAAGCUUCCGCAUGUGGAUGGGCCCGCGUCUCAUUAGCUUGUUGGUGGGGUAAUGGCCUACCAAGGCAACGAUGAGUAGCUGGUCUGAGAGGAUGAUCAGCCACACUGGGACUGAAACACGGCCCAGACUCCUACGGGAGGCAGCAGUGGGGAAUAUUGCGCAAUGGGCGAAAGCCUGACGCAGCGACGCCACGUGGGGGAUGAAGGCCUUCGGGUCGUAAACCUCUGUCGGGAGGGAAGAAACCAUUUUGGUCGAAUAGGCCAUUUUGCUGACGGUACCUCCAAAGGAAGCACCGGCUAAUUCCGUG